rnacentral:rRNA from 1 species
CGGAGGUUAAGGGGUAAAUUGGCCGCCUGGGGGAGACGGCCGGAAGGUUAAAAAUUAAAAGAAAUGACGGGGGGCCGCACCAGCGGUGGGGCCAGGGGUUUAAUUUGAAGGAAAGGGGAGGACCUUACCUUACUUUGAAAAUUCUGGAAUCUUGCAGAGGAUCGGGAGGGCCUUUGGGAAACUGAGCGCCGGUGGUGGCUGGGUGUUGUUAGGUUGUGUUGUGAGAAGGUGGGGUAAGUUCCGCCAAGGGGGCAACCCCUGUCCUUUGGUGCCCGCAGGUUAUGCUGGGAACUCAAGGGAGACUGCCGGUGAUAAACCGGAGGAAGGUGGGGAUGACGUCAAGUCAUCAUGGCCCUUACGGCCAGGGCUACACACGUGCUACAAUGGCGUGUACAGAGGGAUGCAAGCUAGCGAGAGCGAGCGAAUCUCAAAAAGCGCGUCGUAGUCCGGAUCGGAGUCUGCAACUCGACUCCGUGAAGUCGGAAUCGCUAGUAAUCGUAGAUCAGAAUGUUGCGGUGAAUACGUUCCCGGGCCUUGUACACACCGCCCGUCACACCAUGGGAGUGGGUUGCACCAGAAGUAGAUAGCUUAACCUUCGGGA